UACAGAGGUGGCAAGCGUUGUUCGGAAUUACUGGGCGUAAAGGGCGCGUAGGCGGCCCGUCAAGUCCCGUGUGAAAGCCCCCGGCUCAACCGGGGAACGGCGCGGGAAACUAGCAGGCUUGAGUUCGGGAGAGGGAAGCGGAAUUCCGGGUGUAGCGGUGAAAUGCGCAGAUAUCCGGAGGAACACCGGUGGCGAAGGCGGCUUCCUGGACCGACACUGACGCUGAGGCGCGAAAGCUAGGGGAGCAAAAGGG
rnacentral:rRNA from 1 species